AAAAGCAACUUGAAAUAAUUUAUUUCCAGAAACGGAAGAACAACAAUGGAUAAAAGAAUACUUAUUUUCACAACCAUAACGAUGCUUUGUGUCAUGAGCGAUGACACAAUGUUAAAAAAGGGCGUCAUCUUUGUAAAUCAGGGAAACUUUCUCCUUACAACCAGUCGUUGGAAUCUAGUCGUUGACAUCAGAUUCGAGGGAUACGAUAUUCAACUCCUCUGACUGAGAAAACAUCUUAAUAAGCUACAUCGAAUAGUCAAAGGGGCUCGGACAAAAACAACAGGAUUAACGAACAUACUUUGGAACUAUACCGCUACCGAAAUAGGAAAUUUAAAUCGAGUUCUAAAAGACCAAUACAACCAAUAUCAGGAUUUAAAGGCACUAGUUACAUUAAAGAUGACAGAGAAAAAGAAACGAGCUUUAAUUGGCGCGGGAGGAGAUAUACUAAAAUUCCUAUUUGGGACAGCAACAACCAAAGAAGUAGAAGAUCUUAACGCAAGGGUAUCACAAAUUAAAACUAAGCAGGAAGGGAUUAUCCACAUUAUAGAGGCACAGACAACUGUACUAAAUAAUACACUAGCUGCUGUUAAGAACAAUAGACGACGCAUUAGAUUAUUAACUUUAGC
rnacentral:lncRNA from 1 species